GAUGAACGCUGGCGGCGUGCCUAAUACAUGCAAGUCGAGCGAACGGACGAGAAGCUUGCUUCUCUGAUGUUAGCGGCGGACGGGUGAGUAACACGUGGAUAACCUACCUAUAAGACUGGGAUAACUUCGGGAAACCGGAGCUAAUACCGGAUAAUAUUUUGAACCGCAUGGUUCAAAAGUGAAAGACGGUCUUGCUGUCACUUAUAGAUGGAUCCGCGCUGCAUUAGCCAGUUGGUAAGGUAACGGCUUACCAAGGCAACGAUGCAUAGCCGACCUGAGAGGGUGAUCGGCCACACUGGAACUGAGACACGGUCCAGACUCCUACGGGAGGCAGCAGUAGGGAAUCUUCCGCAAUGGGCGAAAGCCUGACGGAGCAACGCCGCGUGAGUGAUGAAGGUCUUCGGAUCGUAAAACUCUGUUAUUAGGGAAGAACAUAUGUGUAAGUAACUGCGCACAUCUUGACGGUACCUAAUCAGAAAGCCACGGCUAACUACGUG
rnacentral:rRNA from 1 species